rnacentral:lncRNA from 1 species
UACAUGUAUAUAUUUUCUUGUGUGUGUUUAUGUGCACUAUGUGCAUUCAGGAUCCACGGAGGAAAGAAGAAGGCACCAGAUCCUUCAGAGCCAGCAGAUUUAGAGCUGAAGUUACAGGCAGGUUCUAGUACCUAGUGCAUCACCUGGCACAUAGACAAUUCCAGAUUGGAUUACCAACUUACCUGUAAAGAACUGCAAUAGUCACAUGGUUCUGAGGUAA